ACAGAGGCACAGAGAACUGAGAAACUACUUGCCCAGGUUACACACAAUACAAAUGCUUGAGUGCUUGUUUAUGAAGAGCACUUUCCUAAGCUCCUGACAGUACAAUACGACAGUUUGUAGUCACAUUUCAUGCUCACAGGGAACUUACAGUCUAGAGCAAGAAACAGAAGUAUGCAUGCCCCUAUUUUACAGUGCUGGAAAUAUUGAGUGCCCCCCACAUACAACUGACUGACCGAUUGCCACAGCUGCCAACCAUGAAAUCAGAAUGAAGGCUGAAAUUAGGGCAGGCACCAUUUCGGAUUUGAAGACCCAGGGAAUGACUGUAUACCAUCCCAGCAUGGAAUCAACUAAGGCAACCCUACCAGAGCCCCACAACAAGGUCAGAAAUGAAAUAAAGCAUCUUCAUCUUAACCUGGAGAAGACAGAAGAAAGAGAUGGGAGAAGGGAAAAUAGAGUUGAACGGCAAAAGAAAGAAGGACUUGGUGGUUAUUUUGAUCUCCCUCCUUCCCAGAAAUUGGGACUGGAGGAAACCCAAGAAAUGGCUAUGUCCUGGUUCUAACCCGAGAGUGUAUUGAGAGAAUUGAGGACACCUACUUUAGCCCCUCCCCUGAGUCAAAUGAGAACCAAGGUGUUCUCUCACGCUUCACUCUUUUAGUCCUAAUUUCUUGGCAAAAAGGGUAUUAAAUCACCACCCUUCUGAA